GGGCUAUAGCUCAGUUAGGUAGAGCACCUCGUUUACAAAGAGGUUCUCGGUUCGAUUCGGGUGCCCA
rnacentral:tRNA from 1 species